UACGAAGGGAGCUAGCGUUGUUCGGAAUCACUGGGCGUAAAGCGCACGUAGGCGGAUGUGUCAGUCAGGGGUGAAAUCCCGGAGCUCAACUUCGGAACUGCCUUUGAUACAACACGUCUUGAGUCCGAUAGAGGUGGGUGGAAUUCCCAGUGUAGAGGUGAAAUUCGUAGAUAUUAGGAAGAACACCGGUGGCGAAGGCGGCCCACUGGAUCGGUACUGACGCUGAGGUGCGAAAGCGUGGGGAGCAAACAGG
rnacentral:rRNA from 1 species